UACAGAGGUCUCAAGCGUUGUUCGGAUUCAUUGGGCGUAAAGGGCGCGUAGGCGGCGGGGUAAGUCUGGUGUGAAAUCUCGGAGCUCAACUCCGAAAUUGCACUGGAUACUGCUCUGCUUGAGGGUUGGAGAGGAGAUCGGAAUUCACGGUGUAGCAGUGAAAUGCGUAGAUAUCGUGAGGAAGACCAGUGGCGAAGGCGGAUCUCUGGGCAAAUCCUGACGCUGAGGCGCGAAGGCUAGGGGAGCAAACGGG
rnacentral:rRNA from 1 species